GUCUGUGUGAUGCUUUUGCCAGGGACAGAACAGGAAUGGAGUCUUAGAACUUACAUGUUUUAUUGAAUGGCCCAUCGCUGAUCAGUCCCUGGCAAUGCCAUGCUGGCUGCUUCUGGUUCCUUGACUCCUUUUGCAGAGGGCUCAUAGUCUGUUGCAUCUUCAUCCAGCAGUUGCAGUUGAUCGAGGAAUCUACAAGUCUCAACCCUGAAGGGAGCCUGGGCUAGGAUGGACUCCUGCCCUCCAGGCUGCUGUGCCGUCAUACCCUAAUGUGGCCCAGCUGGUGGCGAAGGCAUGGGAAACCCUCAUGCACCUGACCUGGUCUCAAAGGCCCUUGAAAGAAAGUACAUCUUCCCCUACAAUGCCACAGCUCCAUCUCCCACUGAGCAGCUUCUUUAAGACACAGGACUAACACGGCUACCACUCUGAAAAGUGUGCUAAGAGGGGCCUUGCUGAGUCAGGGAGCAGUCUGCUGCCACAUGCCAGAAGACCAGGCUGGAGGAGGCAGGAGGGACUCUGCCUAGACCGAGAUGCUGACCAGACCUCACAAGUGAAAAGAGUGUGUGUGUGUGUGUGUACAUACUGUUUG